UACGAAGGACCCAAGCGUUAUCCGGAUUUAUUGGGUUUAAAGGGUGCGUAGGUGGACUUAUAAGUCAGUGGUGAAAGCCUGUUGCUUAACAACAGAACUGCCAUUGAUACUGUAGGUCUUGAGUACAGUUGAGGUGGGCGGAAUGUGUCAAGUAGCGGUGAAAUGCUUAGAUAUGACACAGAACACCAAUUGCGAAGGCAGCUCGCU
rnacentral:rRNA from 1 species